GACAGAGGGUGCGAACGUUGCUCGGAAUUACUGGGCGUAAAGCGCACGUAGGCGGAUUGUUAAGUCAGGGGUGAAAUCCCGAGGCUCAACCUCGGAACUGCCUUUGAUACUGGCAAUCUCGAGUCCGGAAGAGGUGAGUGGAACUCCUAGUGUAGAGGUGAAAUUCGUAGAUAUUAGGAAGAACACCAGUGGCGAAGGCGGCUCACUGGCCCGGAACUGACGCUGAGGUACGAAAGCGUGGGGAGCAAACAGG
rnacentral:rRNA from 1 species